CAGUCAUACCAACGGGAAAUCAACCUUUUGAGCUCGGUCUCGUGGGUUUUGAAGAGUUUCAAAGCCUUCGGAUUCGCGGGAUUGGGAUCUCUCGGUGUACUUUUUCGUACGGUUAGUCAACAUCGGUUUUGAAUGCCAUAAAAUGACUGGAGGAAUGUAGCUUCGAUCUCGUAUUGAAGUGUUAUAGCCUCUGGUAGAUGUGAUGUUUGAGACCGAGGAUUGCAACGGAUACCCUUCAGGGCUAUUCGUCUGAUCUCUGAUACGUUGCCUUGAUGUUGAAAGCCUGCUUAUGAUGUUAGGGUAUUACGGUCAAAAGGUUAGAACGGAUUAGA
rnacentral:rRNA from 1 species